UAGUUGAUGAGUUUGAUCCUGGCUCAGGAUGAACGCUAGUAGUAUGCUUUACACAUGCAAGUUGAACGAAAUUCGUAGCGUACGGGUGAGUAUUUACAAAAUUUUACCUUUUUAGUAUGAGAUAAAAUACAUUCAUUUUAAUGAAAAAAAAAUCUGUUGAUUUUGUAUUAAUAUCAUAUAAUUUAUUAAAAGAAAAAAAAAAUUUUUCGCUAAAUAGAUAAAUUUGUUUAAGAUUAGGUAGUUGGUUAAGAAAAAGCUAACCAAGCCUUCGAUCUUUAGUUGGUCUUAGAGGAUGAUCAGCCACACUGGAACUGAAACAAGGUCCAGGCCUAUUUUGGCCAGCAGUGAGGAAUAUUGGACAAUGAACGAAAGUUUGAUCCAGCAAUACUACAUGAAUGAUGACGGCUGAUUUGGUUGUAAAGUUCUUUCAUCUAAAAUUAUAAUGAUAUUUUUGAAAAAGAAGUCCCGGCAAAUCUCGUGCCAGCAGCCGCGGUAAUACGGGAGGGGCAAGCGUUAUCCGAAAUGACUGGGCGUAAAGGGUUCGUAGACUGUAUUAUAAGUUAUUUGAUAAAAUUUAAAAAUAUUUUUAAGAAAACAAAUAAAACUGUUAUACUAUAGAGUUUUAAACAGAAGAGUGGUAUUUUAUAAGGAGAGAUAAAAUUCAAAGAAAAAUAAAGGAAUAUCUAUAGCGAAGGCAACUCUUUAGUAAAAACUGACGUUGAGGGACGAAAGUAUAGGGAGCAAACAGGAUUAGAUACCCUGGUAGUCUAUACUGUAAACACUGAAUGCUAAAAUUUUAAACUAAAAAUUUAGAUUUUUUAAGCUAACGCAAUAAGCAUUCCGCCUGAGGAGUACGAUCGCAAGAUUGGAACUCAAAGGAAUUGACGGGGGCCUACUACAAGUGGUGGAGCAUGUGGUUUAAUGCGAUAUUACGCGCGAAACCUUACCAACCCUUGACAUUUUUAUGAUUGCACUAUUAAUAUAUAAGUUAAUUUAUUGCAAUUUUAAAAACAGGUGUUGCACGACUGUCGUCAGCUCGUGUCGUGAGAUGUUUGGUUAAUUCCUUUAACGAGCGUAACUCUUGUCUUUAAUUUAUUAUACUUAAAAUUUAAUUAUUUAAAGUAAGUUUUAAAGAUACUGCCAACUAUAUGUUGGAGAAAGGUAAGAAUCAUGUCAAGUCACUGUGGCCCUUAUGGGUUGGGCUACACAUGUGCUACAAUGGAAAUAACAAUAAGUAAUAUUAAAAACUAAUUAAUCUUUAAAAAUUUUCUUAGUUCGGAUUGUAAGCUGUAACUCGCUUACAUAAAGUUGGAAUCACUAGUAAUCGCAAAUCAGAACGUUGCGGUGAAUAGUAAAUUGGCCUUGUACACACCGCCCGUCACAUGCAGGAAGUUGAUUUUUUUUGAAAAAUUAUUUAAAUAUUUUUAUGUAGAAUAAUUAAAAUUAAAAUAUUUUAUUAAAAAAUCAAUAACUUGGAUGAAGUCGUAACAAGGUAGCUGUACGGGAACGUGUAGCUGGAAUUUAAAAUAA
rnacentral:rRNA from 1 species